CAAAAUACUAAGCACUUCCCUCUUUAUUUUUCUCGUUUCUUAAAAAAAUGACAGUUAUUUUAGGGGUUGGAGAAAAUUUAUUUGCUAUAUUAUUGGUUCUAUGACAUUCAAAGUCACUGAACUUCAAGGAUUAUUUAUUAAUUUCAUCAAUUUGUUGCAAAUUACUAUUUAUAGAAAGAAGUCUAAUCUGACACCAUAUAAAUGUUGGUGUUGACACUGUGUUAAAUUAGCUUAGUUGGUAUAAAAAAAGUUUUUUAUGCUUUGUUUAUAAGACUUAGUUUACCACAACAUGCUGCCCAAGUAGGCUUAUAUUAUAGGAUGAAUAAGUGUAACUCCAACAAAAUUGAUUUGUGAAAACAAGUGGUAUUAGGAAAGCAAAACACAGGUGUUAGACACAGAAUUACUUUAGGGAUGAAUGAUGACAUAAAAAUUUGUCCCAAUUAUUUAUUUUUAAAUACUCAACACAAUAGUUGAAGCCAUUGGCUGUGUUUUAAACCCAGCAUAAUAUGUGAAGAACUUUAAUGUAUGAUUGGAAAGACCUAAAUGAAACUGAACUUUGAGUUACAAUUUUCAUGAAUUAAACAUUACCAUCCAUGGAUAAGUGCUUGAUUGUAGAUCUUGGACACCUGCUCCACACUUGAUUUCAAGUUUAUUGGUAUCUAAUUUUUUAAAGAUUCUUUUGAGCAGAUAAAUAUUCAGGUUUUAGGGUGCUCCAAAUAGGAUUGUGACCUUUCAUGAAAUAUUCCCAUUAGAGGUCACAUGCAUGGAAACAAGAAAGCUUCAUAUUUGUUGCUAAAUCAGAAAAGUAAAAAACAAAAUGGAAAGGAAUGUUUUCCUCUUGCUACGUAUUAAUAAUACAACUACAUGCAUAGAGAAUGCAUGACAAGGUUCCAACACUAAACUUUGAGCAUUCAGUAAUCUGAGAUUUUAAGGUGACAAUAUGCUUGUAUGGUAGGUUUUCUAGUUUGAAAAAAAUCAUUCUAGAGCUAAUAAUAUUUGUAAUUUGUGACCUUGCUGUAACUGGGAAAAGUCACUAUUUUUUGUAUGUAAAAUAAUUUGACCUUUAUUGAAUGUGUCAGUAUGCUUGCUGUUUAAAAAUUCCUAAUUAAUCACAUGCAGAUUAAUGCUAAAUGUUAUCUUUUUUGUAC
rnacentral:lncRNA from 1 species